rnacentral:rRNA from 1 species
CAAUAGCGUAUAUUAAAGUUGUUGCAGUUAAAAAGCUCGUAGUUGGAUUUGUGGUUUGUCCCACCCGCUGGGCCUUUUUGGGCCUCUGCGGCGCGGGUCAUCCAUCCUUGGGUGGAAUCCGUGUGGCAUUAGGUUGUCGCGCGGGGGAUGCCCAUCUUUUACUGUGAAAAAAUUAGAGUGUUCAAAGCAGUCUUACGACGUUGAAUAUAUUAGCAUGGAAUAAUGAUAUAGGACCUUGGUACUAUUUUGUUGGUUUGCGCACUGAGGUAAUGAUUAACAGGGACAGUUGGGGGUAUUCGUAUUCCAUUGUAAGAGGUGAAAUUCUUGGAUUUUUGGAAGACGAACUACUGCGAAAGCAUUUACCAAGGAUGUUUUCAUUAA